UUAGAUGGCUAUGGGUUUUGAGCUUUCUAACACUUACUGGUUUGUUUUUCCAAAAUGUAGUAUGUUAUCCUACUAGACCUUAUUAAAACUUACAGUCCAAGCCAAUAAGGUGGCGUACACCUUUAAUCUCAACACUAAGAACACCAAGACAGACAGAUCCCUGUGAGUUCAAGGCUAGUCUGGUCCACAUAAUAAGUUCCCAGGCAGCCAGAAAUAGACAUUGAGAUCCUGUCUUGAAAGAAAGCAAACCAACUGAAGAUAGCCUGAGCUUAAACAACUUCCCACAAGAAAAACUGAUAAGGCUGAGACCAGUCCUUCCUUGGACGAUAUGCUUUCUAGAGAUAGCAUUGAGCACCACUCUUUCUGCCUCUUGGUGUGUAUUUUAUGUUUGUGAGGAUUCCUUUGGCAUACGGAACCCUCAGUGCUCCUCCCCGGAGCCCGUCUUUCUCCCCUGAACACAUCUUUAAGGAUGAGUUUUAACAGGAGAACCUUUAAGUCACACUGUCAUGUUGCUUACUAAAGGUACAUGGCCUGUGGUGACAGUGUCACUGGCAUCAUCCUGAGCCUGUAUGAGAUGUGCUGUGCUGAUGAGAGAAGGGUGCUGGGCAGAGAAGGGAUACUAGCAGUUUCUGAUGGGUUCACGGCUUUAAACACAGUGUGCGUCAGUCUCGGUAGCAGCUUAUUUUAACUAAUUUAGGAAUAAUAGUUUGUCUUGGAUCAAAUUCUGUUUUUUGUUUGUUUGUUUGUUUUUUGUUUUUGGUGUUUGGUUUUUUUUUAAUUUGGGGAAAAAAUAGGCUUUUUAAAGGGGAUUAUUGUUUACUGGAAAGAAUCCUCACUUCCUGUUUCCUCCCACCUUGCUGUAAUGUCAGUGGUCACAAGAUUCACCAGGUACUGUGUUAUCUCAGCCUCCUGAUUUCUAUCCAUGCUCAAACCUAAAGUGUAAAAGUACACAUUCCUUUUUAAAAAUACGCAUAUGCAUCAUUUCUACGUUCAGCAGAAUCUACACAUUUGUCAAGUUUUCCACAGUUCUCAGUUCUUUUUAUCCAUUCCGUUAUGUGUCACCUCAUGUAUCAAACAGUGAACAUAAAAAGAUAUGAAGACCUGUAUUAAUUAGUUUUUGUCCAAACAGCUGUGCUCUGAAGCUGCGUCAGAGGAAAGGUCCUAAUUUCUGAGCUCAGCUUCCAUGCACUCGGCUCGGCCCUUUGUCUUAAAGUAAAGCUAGUGCUGUGAGUUUAGAACUGUGGCCCACGUUUCAAGUUAUGACACAGAACAGCCCUCUCUGGUUGUCAUUUCAUUUCCUUGUUUGCUUUUAGCACCAGUCCCAGGGUGCUGGCUCCCAUUUUCUGCCAGGCACAGAAAGGCUACAGCUGACUGCUUUAAAAAUAGCUCUGCGUAGAUUCUGCAGAGAAGCUGGAACCUAAUGGUAGUAAAAGUACUUUUUUUUGGCCAUUGUAUACAAUCUACUUAACAAGUUUACAUUUCUGUCAAGACAUUGCAGACUGAAGAUCUACAUUGCCUUAAUUUGUUACUUACUGAUACAAAUCUUUAUUUGUAGUUGUUGUUUUGGAUAGGUUUGUAUAUUCUUUUUUUUUUUUUUUUUUUUUUUUGUAUGUGUGUUGAGAUAGUACCUUGCCAUUGCCCAAGCCUGGCCUUAAACUCAGCUCAAACGACUUUCCUACCUCAGCCUGUUGAGUAACUAACACCACAGGUACACACUGUGCACACAGCUUUCAAGUAUAAAUCUUAAAGAGAUUAUUUUAAAACUGUAGAUAAGAUUUCAGGCCCUUAGUCAAGCGUGGUGCAUACCUUCUCUGAGUAGGGCCAUCUCUGGGUCCUGGUGAGUAGUGUCUAUGUCUGUGGGAAGGAAGGGCUGCUCGGGGCCUUCAUCUGGCUGAGCUCGAUUCAUCUGUUCAUAGCAUGGGACAAAAUACCAACAGAAAUGUCCAUUCUAUUUACAUGCCAACACCUAACAAAGUCUCUUAUUUUUAAAACUCCUUUAUAUGGCUUUGCCAUAGAAUCUUGUAUAUACUUUUUUUUUUUUUUCAAAAUAGAAAUGAUUUUUUUUCUCAUUAAAUUUGUCAUCUUAUUACUUGAAACGUGGGCCUUUGUUAUUGGCAGUGGCUUGCUCCCGAGGAGGCCUGUUCUGUCCACCCUGUCCCAGAACGCACUCAUUUGAGUCAGAUGCCACAGUUCUUCCUCACACUGGUCUUUGGUUUAUACCAUGCAGCACCAUACCUAGAGUCACAGCUGUCUCUAAUUGUCCCCUGAAUAUGGAAUGAGAGACUCAGGCUGUGCCCUCAUUCACUGCUGCUCUGCACUGGAGCCUGUCCCCAAUCAGAGAACUUGCCUCGUGGCCAGCAGUCUUCCUUCCUGGGUCCUGAGCAGCUUCAAGCCUUCUGCAUUAGUGCUUUCUCUUAGCCGUGGCUGUUGGGAAGAAGACCCACUGUUCUCCACAGGUUGGGUUGUUUUUUUUUUUUUUCCUGGCUGUCCUUGUCCCAGCACAGUGCCAUCAGCCAUUGUGAGCAGUGCUUAAAGUGGAAAGCUACACCAGCCUAAGAGGCUUUGUGUAAGCUGACGUUUAGGAUUUAAAGAGCCUGGACCAUCUGAGUUCUGACUCUGAAGCUCUGCUUGGUUGUAAAGUUCCAGUUGAUUCUGAGCAGUGAGGUGUGAGGCCACUGUCACCGGUAGGGUCUGCUUGGAUGCCGCCUGCUUUACUUGGAUCUGUUUUGUUGGGGACUGCUGCAAGGAGAAUUGCAUGGGAAUUUUCUUCUUUUUCUUUACAGAGACUUAUAAGCAUCGAGUUAUUCUUUGUAGUCACUCAUUAGGCAUAGUUUUUUUUUUUUAAGACCCAUGAUGCUGUUGCUAUUCCCCCCCCCCUUUUUUUUUUGGUUUUUUGAGACAGGGUUUCUCUGUAUAACUCUGGCUGUCCUGGAACUCACUUUGUAGACCUCAAACUCAGAAAUCCCCCUGCCUUUGCCUCCUGAGUGCUGGGAUUAAAGGCAUGCGCCACCACGGCCCGGCUGCUGUUGAUAUUUUAAAUGACUAUUUUAAAAAGUCGUUCAGUGUGGAAAGUUGAGGAGAGGAAGCCUAGGUAAGUUCCUUUAAAGCAUGCUUGGCUCACCUCGGUUAGUCCUGAUCAAUCUCAGUCGGAUGCUAAUGUAAAUGUCGUGUGGCAAAACAACUUUUAAUGCAGUCUGACUUUCCCUCUAACACGGGCAAGGAAGAAGACACCAGCAUUUGCCUCUGCAGCACAGAGGCAGCCCCCAGGAUACCCACGUAGCUCAUUGCUUGGUUUGCUCGCCCAUUUUACUUUUGCCUUAUUAAAAAUAAAAUGGUGAAGAUCCAUUCAAGUGAAUAUAAUAGAAUUAUCUCAAAAGCCAUUUAUCUUAAUAGUCUUACAAAUAAAGUCAUUUCUUAGAAGCUAUUCCAUUGAUUUCCUCUUAUUUUGCUACCCCUAAACACUAUUUGAAAAGAAGUAAUGAGUUUCAAAAACCACAGCGUGUCUGUUAAAUGGCAAAUUUAUUAUUCUUGGUAAAUGUGUAUUUAACAAACACUAGGAAAGGAUAUCUCGUGUGUAUGUG
rnacentral:lncRNA from 1 species